rnacentral:pre_miRNA from 1 species
AGCUUUCGGCUUAGAUUCCAAGCCUUCCUCAGUUGUCAAAAGGAAGGCUUGGAUUCUGAGCCGAAAGCU